rnacentral:rRNA from 1 species
GGGUAACCUGCCCAUCAGAAGGGGAUAACACUUGGAAACAGGUGCUAAUACCGUAUAACACUAUUUUCCGCAUGGAAGAAAGUUGAAAGGCGCUUUUGCGUCACUGAUGGAUGGACCCGCGGUGCAUUAGCUAGUUGGUGAGGUAACGGCUCACCAAGGCAACGAUGCAUAGCCGACCUGAGAGGGUGAUCGGCCACACUGGGACUGAGACACGGCCCAGACUCCUACGGGAGGCAGCAGUAGGGAAUCUUCGGCAAUGGACGAAAGUCUGACCGAGCAACGCCGCGUGAGUGAAGAAGGUUUUCGGAUCGUAAAACUCUGUUGUUAGAGAAGAACAAGGAUGAGAGUAAAAUGUUCAUCCCUUGACGGUAUCUAACCAGAAAGCCACGGCUAACUACGUGCCAGCAGCCGCGGUAAUACGUAGGUGGCAAGCGUUGUCCGGAUUUAUUGGGCGUAAAGCGAGCGCAGGCGGUUUCUUAAGUCUGAUGUGAAAGCCCCCGGCUCAACCGGGGAGGGUCAUUGGAAACUGGGAGACUUGAGUGCAGAAGAGGAGAGUGGAAUUCCAUGUGU